AACGAACGCUGGCGGCAGGCCUAACACAUGCAAGUCGAGCGAGGACUUCGGUCCUAGCGGCGGACGGGUGAGUAACGCGUGGGAACGUGCCCUUUGCUACGGAAUAGCCCCGGGAAACUGGGAGUAAUACCGUAUGUGCCCUUCGGGGGAAAGAUUUAUCGGCAAAGGAUCGGCCCGCGUUGGAUUAGGUAGUUGGUGGGGUAAUGGCCUACCAAGCCGACGAUCCAUAGCUGGUUUGAGAGGAUGAUCAGCCACACUGGGACUGAGACACGGCCCAGACUCCUACGGGAGGCAGCAGUGGGGAAUCUUAGACAAUGGGGGAAACCCUGAUCUAGCCAUGCCGCGUGAGCGAUGAAGGCCUUAGGGUUGUAAAGCUCUUUCAGUGGGGAAGAUAAUGACGGUACCCACAGAAGAAGCCCCGGCUAACUCCGUGCCAGCAGCCGCCGCCGUAA
rnacentral:rRNA from 1 species